AGAGUGCUAUAGGGCCAGGAAUCUGCAUUUCCACAGCUCUCUGGGGAUGCUGAUGCAGGGGUCCAAAGACUAUCUACUGAGGCCCAGUGUAACUUUACUGUGAGACAACUAGUCACCUUCCCACUCAGAGAUGCUUCCCGAGCUGACCACAGCGCCGCCACACCUGGCAUCUGGAAGAGGCUCUGGGAGGGUCCAAGCAACAAACCACGCGGCGUUCUCUGGAGGCUGAGCUGGGACGAGUGGGCGGAAGCAGCCUCAGAAACCUAGACCACCACCAAAUGGAUCUGCUGGCACGUAGACCUCAGAAAAAAGGAAACUGAGGACUGAACUCUGACCGCUAUUUCUUGUUCUACAUUUUUUCUUGAAGGACCUGAAGGAAGUCACGCCCAUGGGCCAGACCUAACGUUCUUUUCUGCUAACUCCCAGUUUUUAAAUAGAGCUUCCCUUCCUUAACCAAUCGCAAAUCAGACAAUUUUUGAAUUCCCCUGUAACCUGUAAGCCCCUACUUCAAGAUAUCCUGUGUGUUAAGGUCAAACCAAUAGGUAGCCUCCAUGUGUUGACUUAUGACUUUGCGUGUAACCUCUGCCUGCCUGCCUUUAGAAAGAAACCAUUGCUUGCAAGCCUUUGGGAAGGUCAGGUGAGCUGCCUGAUUCUCCGUGCUGGGUGCCCUGCAAAUAAACACCCUGU